GCACAAACAAUGAAUCAUGGAACACCACAUCUAAAACUAAUGAUGUAAUGUAGGGGAUUAACAUAAGAAUAAAAAAAAGAAGAAGAAAAGCACACUGGUAUAAGAUUGAGAUUUGGGUUUUCUAUGUUAAAAUGACAAGGUUUUCUUGGAUUGUUAGUGUACUCUUUUUUUCUUUCUUAAGAUUGUAUUUAUUUAUUUGACAGAGAGAGACACAGCGAGAGAGGGAACACAAGCAGGGGGAGCGGGAGAGGGAGAAGCAGGCUCCCGGCCAAGCAGAGAGCCCGAUGUGGGGCUCGAUCCCAAGACCCUGGGAUCAUGACCUGAGCCGAAGGCCGACAGACGCUUGACGACUGAGCCACCCAGGCGCUCCUCCGAGAUUUUAUUUUUUAAAUAAUCUCUACACUGAACGUGGGGCUCGAACUCACAACCCUGAGAUCAAGAGUCGUGCUCUCUACCGACUGAGCCAGCCAGGUGCCCCUGGACUGUCAUCUCGAAGAGACACAUGCGUAGACUCAGAUAUGGCCCUGCUACCAAAUACUGGCUGUCUCUGCAGAAGUCUGGACUCAAGGUCAACUGAUAAUGGCUGCAGCCUAUGAAGAAGCGAGGUCCUGAUUCCUUACCUGAGAAAAGGAGCCUAAGACCCCAUCCAGGUUGUACCAGCUCUCAGAGCAUGCCCACAGCCUCUUCUCCUUGUCCUCAGAUAACCUCCUGACAUCAGGGACUCAGUUUUGCCUCAUUCAGAUGUCAGGUCUCCACCCCGAAGUAAACAUGGGAAUCUAUGAGAAAUUAGAUCCCAUCCAGCAAGAGCUGAAUCCGAGUCCUCUGCUCACCCCACGACGGAAAAGAAUAUGCACAGGCCUGCAUCCCUCUUCUCCUUCUCCACCAUGUCGGAAGAAAAGGGUCUCUAUCGCCUCUAUACAUAAGCAUGAAACGGGCCCGGAGAGGACGACUUUGUUUCCUGAGUUUUGUUUUGUUUUCUUCGAAAUCACCAUAGCGAUUCUAAUUCCUUUUGCCUGUCUGCUUGUGUAUGUAAUCUGUACACCCAUCCAGUGCGGUGCUGGAACUCACGACGCCCGCCGAUCAAGAGUCGCGGUCGCGUGGGCCUCCUCCGACCGAGCCAGCCAGGUGCCCUGAAAUACGUGUACUUGAAAAACCAAUGUGAAGCCUGCACCCGUGAACUUUUUUUUUUAAAGAUUUUAUUUAUUUAUUUGAGACAGAGAGAAUGAGAGAGACAGAGAGCACAUGAGAGGGGGGAAGGGUCAGAGGGAGAAGCAGACUCCCUGCCGAGCAGGGAGCCCGAUGCGGGACUCGAUCCCGGGACUCCGGGAUCAUGACCUGAGCCGAAGGCAGUCGCUUAACCAACUGAGCCACCCAGGCGCCCUUUUUUUUCUUUUCUUUUCUUUUUUUUUUUUAAUAGAUGCACCCGUGAAGUGUUUACUGCGAAACCUUCUUUUGAUCGUCGCACUCUUGAGUGGAGGCCGUACCAGUAAAGAACGUAGUUUAGCCAACUCAGGAAGAGAUCAGCUUUAAAGGAAAACCUUCUUUUCGAGUUUGUGAUGUCUGGUCCUUUCUCUCAACUCGAUCGAUGUCCAGCCUUCAGAGCCACAUUAUUUGCUUGGUCUCUCUCUCUCUCUCUCUCUCUCUCUCUCUCUCUCUCUCUCGUCUGUGUUUCCUCGUGUACUUUCCUGAUGCUCAGGAUUUAUGGUUUAGAGAGAACAGUUUUCAGCCUGGUGUGUGUGUGUGGGGGGGGGGAUGUUGUGAAGUGGGAUCAGGGAUUCACGCGGGUAAGGAGGAGGCAAGGAGAAAGGCUUGGUUGGGAAGGAAACCAUUAAAGGUCCAUGUUGAAAUGGUGAAGUUUAUUUUAUUUAUUUAUUUAUUUAUUUAUUUAUUUAUUUAUUUAUUUAUUUAUUUAUUUAUUUACUUUUUAAAGAUUUUAUUUAUUUAUUUGACAGAGAGAGACAGCGAGAGAGAGAACACAGGCAGGGGGAGUGGGAGAGGGAGAAGCAGGCCUCCCGCGGAGCAGGGAGCCCGAUGUGGGGCUCGAUCCCAGGGCCCUGGGCUCGUCACCUGAGCCGAAGGCGGACGCUUAACGACUGAGCCACCCCCCAGGUGCCCCGAAAUGGUGAAGUUCAAUGUAGUAAGAGUUACCUUUAAUCAAAGGAAUUCUUUUUUUUUUCUUUUAUUUUAUUCUUAUGUUAAUCCCCAUACAUUACAUCAUUAGUUUUAGAUGAAGUGUUCCAUGAUUCAUUGUUUGUGCACAACACCCACUGCUCCAUGCAGAAUGGGCCCUCCUCAAUACCCACCACCAGGCUAACCCAUCCUCCCACCCCCCUCCCCUCUAGAACCCUCAGUUUGUUGUUCAGAGUCCAUCGUCUCUCAUGGUUCGUCUACCCCUCUGAUUUCCCCCCGCUUCAUUCUUCCCCUCCUGCUACCUCCUCCUCCUCCUCCUCCUCCUCCUCCUCCUCCUUCUUCUUCUUCUUCUUUUUUUUUUCUUAACAUAGAUUGCAUUAUUAUUUGUUUCAGAGGUACAGAUCUGAGAUUCAACAGUCUUGCACAAUUCACAGCGCUUACCAGAGCACACACCCUCCCCAGUGUCCAUCACCCAGUCACCCCAUCCCUCCCACCCCACCCCCCACUCCAACAACACUCAGUUUGUUUCCUGCGAUUAAGAUAAUCAAAGGAAUUCUUGCUGGAGGUUGCUUCUCCCCUCUCCUCCCUGGAUAGGGGAGUGAAGUUUUUUCGAGGUCCCUAGUGGACACAGAAAGCGUUCAAGUGCCCCUAGCACCUAUGGAUGGGGCUCUGUUGCCCUCUAGUGUCCUAUCCUCUGCUACUGCUGCUCGU